UCCCGCCCUUUUUGGGGCUGUGGAGAAAGCGGCUGAGGGCGGGAGUGAGCCGCGCGCUGUGCUGAGGCGCGGGAGCGCUGAAGUUGUUUCUCUGAGAAAUACAAGUGGUGGUUCUGGACCACAAAAUGAAAGAAAAAAACGAGAAUCUGUGUCUAACUAAACCACGCCCAUGCUUUGAGUUGCACAGGAGGGGAAGGAUUUGGAGAAUCGAGGACGUGAAACGGAUGGUGUGACUGUUCAGCAUAAGGUUGGGCACAUUUACAGGACAGCAACCCCACAACCACUACCUCCAACUCGUGAAAACAGCGCACUCUCCCUCUAAAUGUAGUCCAGUUCCUUGUCUAAUUUCUGUUCUGAGAAUCAGGAGUAGAGAGUCCACACUGAAGACUAAUAAUUAUACAUUGCUUUUCUCUCCAGCAGCAGAAUCUGCCACGUGACCCUUGUGUCUAAGACUUUCUGUGGAUGUGGUCGGUUAGUUACACACGUGUUCUCUGGCAGCAUUUCUGAAGGCCCACUCUCUUCAUGGGAGGGACUUCAAGACUCUCAUGAUGACCACUGAUGGAAUAAAUAGUUAGCACUUCACUGUGUAUCUCUUACUGGUUAUAUCUUGUAAGAUGAGCAUGUCUCUGUUACGUGUCAUUUAGCCAAAGGGAAGUUGGAAGCUGAGCAGCAGAAAGAAGCUUAGGAUUGUAAUUACUUCACUUUAAUUUGAAAAGUAAAGUGUGUGCUUGCUGUCUGUUUCUGGUCCUAGUGUGUGGCUAUAAACAGGAAGGCACAUCAAAUCCAUCGGAGUAGCUCCGAGCGCACAAGGACCAAGUGGUGAAGGCAGCAAAGGCUGCCUGAUUAUUUUUAUAAACAUUUUGGGUUGCAAUAUCUGUGGAGAAGUCUUUUAUCUGACCUAUUUUUAGAAUCUUUGUUGUAGAUUCAAUCAAUAACCAGGAUGCAUCAAGCCAGAAGGUGUUACAGAGAUAACCUGCAGUAUUUCAGAGACCAUGUAAGAGGCUGUUAAAUGGGUUCAGUAUCUCACUUUUUCCUCUUCACUAAAUAUGUUUAAGUGGCUGUUUUUGUUGUCGUUGCUGUUCUUCAAUCCUAGAUAAAUGACAUUAUAAAAAUUCAAGCCUUUAUGUGAUCAAAGAACGCACGAGAAGACUACAAAACCCUCAGUAAGUAUUGCUGAAAGAACAAAACGAAUAUGCCUUGAAUCUCUGUUUAGAAGAGCUACUGCUAGCAUGAUGUAUAACAUCAAGACAGUCAUGAGGAUCGGUUGGGAUGAUGUUGAAGUGGUGCAAAGAGAAGAUAGUUGCGGAAGCUGAAGGAAAACUCGAUUCCUGUUAGUACUUCUGCUGCUGAGAAAUAGAACCACAGAGUUUGAGGUAAAUUCAGCAGUGCGGGCUGCCCUAGGCUGAUACUUAAUUUGUUCUUUAAUGUUGACUUCUGUCCUCAUCUGUUCUGUACAAGAAAUUCCAGAUCUUUUCAGAAGCUGUUCGGACGCGUUGCCACUAAUUUUGGAACUGGCUGCUGCCUGGCAUGCUAUGUACACACUGAUAACGCACAGAUUCCCUUAUGCUUCCCAUCCUCUGACGUUUAGUUGCCUGUUUUUAGUUAAUGCUGAAAACCCAGCGAUGGGUGUGGUUGGGAAAUCCGUCCACUUGCUCGAUCAGCGUGACCAAGCUUUACAGCAGGAGCUUGAGCGAAUGCAACUGUGUGAGGAAGUUGUAACCUUGAUCUGAUCUAACCUGCAUCUUGAAAAUGACCCCAAUUUCAUGCACAUCAGAAUUGGGCUGCUACUGAAAAAUAAAAACUAUGCUGCAGGUAGGAAAUGUACUGUUAGGAGACUAACAGAACGAAGAGAGGCCGGGGCAGUUAACGCAAAGAGCUCCUGGCCUCGGGCCUCAGUUGCUCUGCCUCAGUGGAAAAUAUUCCCCAGACUUAGAGGUUUUCCUCCCAGCAAGCUGAUGCUCUGUUCCACUUCCUUAGUGUGUACCCCUAGAAGGAUGAUUGAAGAGGGAGAGACAAGAUGUGAAGCAUUUUAAAAACAGACAGAACACCAGAAGUGUGCUCAUAUUAUUCUUGUGUAGCAUUGUACAUUAACUGCUGUACCAAGAUUUGAUUCAAAAUCCAUUAUUUGUUUCCUACAGGUGAUGCUGAGAAGCGUGACUCGUGAUGGCUUAUGCGUCCCUCCUGCUUCCUAUUAAUUCUUCCUUCGGGUCAAAAGCAGACUGAGUCCAUGAGGAUUGUGAGUGGGAGCCCCGCUGUUCUGAGGCCGCUUGUGAGUCUCAAGCGUGGUGCCCGUGUUCAGAACGCCCAGAGGCAGAUCCCGGCACCGGUGCUGAAGGGAAGAGCUGCCGACGAAUCGCUCCGUAUCAAAACCGAUCCCGUGGAUAUUUUCAAGCCUUAGGUGAACUGGACGGAAUCUUGGACUGGUGGGGCCAGCUACAGAAGCUGUUACUGCUGUGGUUUUUCUAAAAGUGGCUCAGCUGUUUUGUGUUGCUCUGUUAAUUGUUCCCAACCACCCUUGGCUUCGCUGCACGCACCUGUGCAAUUGAUACCAGCUUUCUUUAAUCACCUCAGACACUGGCAAAAAAUAACAUAUAUAUAUUUUUAAAAAGCAUGACACCAUCAAUUUGAUGAUUUACUAUGAUGAUGAUUUUAACAGAUAUUCGUAAGCACUUAGCACAGGUUUCUUGGGCUUGGAGAGGUUUUCCUCGGUUUUUCUUCGUCUCUUUCUUUUUUUUUUUUUCCUUUCUUUAUCUACACCUGUUCAAACGUUGUGUUCUUGUCCUGUUCUAAAAAGCAAACGAGAGCGGAAGGCUGGGGACCGUGGUGCGGGCCGCGUGAAUGGCACGGGAGAAGUUGUUUCUGCGGUCUGUGCUGCCACCGCGUGGUCAAUCCGCGGCAGUGCCGCUGUCUCGGUUUGGUGCGGCAGGCAGCAGGACGCAUGCGCACAAGCAUGCGGACGUGGGGUGUCCGUCAUGGUCGCUCUGCGCAGCUAAUCCGCCAAGCUCUAUUGUACUUAGUCCUCCAGGCGGUAGCGCGCAUGCGCCCCGAAACAUAAACGGCACCCGUUUCUCCGAGGCGCUCAGGUGCGGGGAAGCAGUCGACGCUUGAACCGCCGGCUCAGCGAUGUUCUCCCCCCGCUUCCAAUGCAGGCUGCCCCUCGCCUAUUUCCUCGGGCGGUUUUACGCCCGAACCUGCCUCGGGCCCACGGACCGCUUUUGCUCCCAGCGGCCCCUGCGCGCGCCGCGGCACCCGAUUGGCUCGGCGUGGCACGUGACCGUCAGCCGCGCGCCUCAGCACCGCGCACUCGCGCUAGCGCAGCGGUCCUCGCCGCUACCGCGCGUGGAAGAGGAUUGGGACCCGCAGGCGCUCGAGGGCGGUGCGGGCAUUUGUGUCGCCCCGCUGCCGCUCUCUGCGCCGUCCCUCGCCCAUCCCGCGCUCUCUUUCACCUCUGCCCACGGUCACAGUCCCGGGAACGGACCGGCUCGGCUCACAGCUGCCCCCGAGCGCCUCGCGGCAUCCGAUCGGCUCAUUGCCGCGGUGGACUGACAGGCGUCGCCGUCCGCUCCCAGCCCUGCCCCGCCCCCAGCCAUUCAAAAGCGCUCUCGGCAGCAGAGGAACCUGCGCAGCUCGGCGGUCUGGCUCCGGCGCUCAACGCGUGAGGCCACUCGCGGGGCUCGCACUGCCACCCGCACCCGCCCGGGCAGCCCGGCCGCAGCCCUUCCUCCCUCCCUCCCGCCGGGGCCCUCGCAAUGCCCGAGGCCGC